GUUGUUCAAGCCUUCUGCAUCCUGUUGCUCUUCUGCUCGGUUGCAUCCAUUCUGGGAAAGUCGGGUAUUGAAGUCUCCAGAUUAAUACGGUUGAAAGCAAGAAUUCCAAACUUCAAAACUAAGCAGUCUCUGAAGAAUGGAGAUGGCAGGCGUUCUGCUCCCUUACAGCAGCUGGUAGAAUCAAGACCCAUGGGUCCAUGGAGGAAAAGGGGAAGAGCCUCUGUCCUUUGGACCCCUGAUCCCGGGGUUUCCUCUCACACUCCCAUCAUCGCCGUCUCCUCUGUGUGCUGUGCUUAUCAGCCCUGUGGGCUCCAUGGACAUCUCAUGUGCCUGGGAGGCUGCUCUCCUUGUCCUGUGGAUCCAGUUCUUGGCAGCCCCACUCUCAGGAGCACAGGAGUCCUGAGAGCCUCCUUCUGCCCAUCCAGAUGCCCACACACCUGACCAGGAGUGCACUGCUUGUUCUGACAUAAAAAAUCUGCAGCCUUGCCCAUCACACCGCUUCCCAGGACCACAGCUGCCUACUGACCCCUGCACCCUCCCACCUGUGCUCUGCGUGGACUCGUGGUGUUAGAGCCCCUUCCCAAAGCCCACCAUCAAUGUGUGCAGCAGGCACCAUGCCCAGGGCUUCAUCAGAGAAGAAGAACUACUAGGAGGGAUAGACAAUAAGAGGCUCAUUAUCAAGG
rnacentral:lncRNA from 10 species